rnacentral:rRNA from 1 species
GUCGAACGGCAGCACGGGUACUUGUACCUGGUGGCGAGUGGCGAACGGGUGAGUAAUACAUCGGAACGUGCCCAGUCGUGGGGGAUAACGUAGUGAAAAUUACGCUAAUACCGCAUACGAUCUAUGGAUGAAAGCGGGGGAUCGCAAGACCUCGCGCGAUUGGAGCGGCCGAUAUCAGAUUAGGUAGUUGGUGAGGUAAAGGCUCACCAAGCCAACGAUCUGUAGCUGGUCUGAGAGGACGACCAGCCACACUGGAACUGAGACACGGUCCAGACUCCUACGGGAGGCAGCAGUGGGGAAUUUUGGACAAUGGACGCAAGUCUGAUCCAGCCAUUCCGCGUGCAGGACGAAGGCCUUCGGGUUGUAAACUGCUUUUGUACAGAACGAAAAGGUCUCUAUUAAUACUAGGGGCUCAUGAUGGUACUGUAAGAAUAAGCACCGGCUAACUACGUGCCAGCAGCCGCGGUAAUACGUAGGGUGCAAGCGUUAAUCGGAAUUACUGGGCGUAAAGCGUGCGCAGGCGGUUAUAUAAGACAGAUGUGAAAUCCCCGGGCUCAACCUGGGAACUGCAUUUGUGACUGUAUAGCUGGAGUGCGGCAGAGGGGGGUGGAAUUCCGCGUGUAGCAGUGAAAUGCGUAGAUAUGCGGAGGAACACCGAUGGCGAAGGCAAUCCCCUGGGCCUGCACUGACGCUCAUGCACGAAAGCGUGGGGAGCAAACAGGAUUAGAUACCCUGGUAGUCCACGCCCUAAACGAUGUCAACUGGUUGUUGGGUCUUCACUGACUCAGUAACGAAGCUAACGCGUGAAGUUGACCGCCUGGGGAGUACGGCCGCAAGGUUGAAACUCAAAGGAAUUGACGGGACCCGCACAAGCGGUGGAUGAUGUGGUUUAAUUCGAUGCAACGCGAAAACCUUACCCACCUUUGACAUGUACGGAAUUCGCCAGAGAUGGCUUAUUGCUCGAAAGAGAGCCGUAC